UAGCUUCUUGGGUUUUUUUAAGAAGUAAUUUCUGCCCGGUGAGUUUUAAACGGCCGCGGUACUCUGACCGUGCAAAGGUAGCAUAAUCAUUUGUUCCUUAAUUAGGGGCUUGUAUGAAGGAAAUUUUGAGCGCUUAGCUGUCUCUAUAUAAAAAUUAGAAUUUUCUUUUAUUGUGAAGAAGCAAUAAUGUCAGAAAGGGACAAGAAGACCCUAUCGAGCUUUACUUGUCUUAUGUUUAGUUUUGAUUAUUGAUAAAAAAAAGUUGCAUUAGCAAGUUUUGUUGGGGUGACGAGAAAAGAUGAAAUCUUUUCUUUAAUUCUAUAAACUAGUUACGUUAGAGAUUGAUCGGGGUUUCUCCAUUGUUAAAAUCAGUUACCGUAGGGAUAACAGCGUAAUCCUUUUUGAGAGUUCUUAUCGAAAGGAGGGUUUGCGACCUCGAUGUUGACUUGUUAUUUCCUGAUUGGUGUAAGCGCUGUAAAGGUUGGUCUGUUCGACCAUUAAAAUGAC
rnacentral:rRNA from 1 species